rnacentral:rRNA from 1 species
AUUGAACGCUGGCGGCAUGCCUAACACAUGCAAGUCGAACGGUAACAGCCCUUCGGGCGCUGACGAGUGGCGGACGGGUGAGUAACGCGUGGGAAUCUGCCUAGUAGUGGGGGACAACCUGGGGGAAACUCAGGCUAAUACCGCAUACGCCCUACGGGGGAAAGCAGGGGAUCUUCGGACCUUGCGCUAUUAGAUGAGCCUGCGUCGGAUUAGCUUGUUGGUGGGGUAAAGGCCUACCAAGGCGACGAUCCGUAGCUGGUUUGAGAGGACGAUCAGCCACACUGGGACUGAGACACGGCCCAGACUCCUACGGGAGGCAGCAGUGGGGAAUAUUGGACAAUGGGGGCAACCCUGAUCCAGCAAUGCCGCGUGUGUGAAGAAGGCCUGCGGGUUGUAAAGCACUUUCGGAUGGGAAGAAAAGCUCAAGGCUAAUAUCCUUGAGUCUUGACGUUACUAUCAGAAGAAGCACCGGCUAACUCUGUG